rnacentral:rRNA from 1 species
UACAGGGGGUGCAAACGUUGCUCGGAAUCAUUGGGCGUAAAGCGCACGUAGGCGGUCUGUUAUGUCGGAUGUGAAAGCCCUUGGCUCAACUGAGGAAGUGCAUCCGAAACUGGCAGGCUAGAGUACUAAAGAGGAUCGCGGAAUUCCCGGUGUAGAGGUGAAAUUCGUAGAUAUCGGGAGGAACACCGGUGGCGAAGGCGGCGAUCUGGGUAGAUACUGACGCUGAGGUGCGAAAGCGUGGGGAGCA